rnacentral:rRNA from 1 species
UACGGAAGGGGCAAGCGUUGUCCGGAAUUAUUGGGCGUAAAGAGCUCGUAGGCGGUCUGUUGCGUCCGCUGUGAAAACUCGGGGCUUAACCCCGAGCCUGCAGUGGAUACGGGCAGACUAGAGGUAGGUAGGGGAGAAUGGAAUUCCCGGUGUAGCGGUGAAAUGCGCAGAUAUCGGGAGGAACACCGGCGGCGAAGGCGGUUCUCUGGGCCUUACCUGACGCUGAGGAGCGAAAGCGUGGGGAGCGAACAGG